GCAGUCCAGGAGGAAGGAGCUCUGUCAUGGAAGAGAAGGGAGGCCUGGCUGCAGGAGCAGUGUUUGGCACUGCUAAGGGAUGGAGUAUUUCCCGGUCAGCAGGCCCUUACUAAAGCAGCAUGACAGCAGCAAUUGUUGAAAAAAGAGACAUCAUCAUGUGCAUGGAACUUGUGGGGCACGGUCACAGUCACACAAGGAAAGAAUCUGAAGGAGGCAGCAGAAACCCAACAAUUUCCUCACUACAGCUUUCUGACAGUGCCUGACUGUGAAACCUGCCUCCAGAGCAGACUGUAUUCCCCUCUGCUGGCCAAAAAGAACAAGAAUGAGAGCUAAUACACUUGAGAGAAAGAAAGGCAAAUGACAGCCAUGGCAGUAAAUGCAAGCAAAUUGAGCUUGGCUGUGAAGCCAGUUAAAGAACAAAACCCUGCUAGUCAAGAUAGACGGUGGGUUUUUUUUGGUCCAGGUUUUAAAAAUUCUCGCUUCUAAACACAACAGUAAGGGGGAAGAGGGGUAGGUCACAUAAUUGUGGUGGCAACAGCCUUUCAGCAUGAACCCCUAAAUAAUGUGACCUUGCCUGAGUAUUCAAGCAGGUUGUUUGUGUCAGUAUCACAAAAUCAAGGUGACUUGUAUUUGUACUCUGUCUGCAUGCACGUCUUCCAUUUUUUAGCCUUAUUUUGGUGCAUACAGUCCCUAGGAAAUGUAAUUAAAACCAGUGUACGUGAGUGAUUGAAUUUAGUAUGUGUAAAUUCUUCAGCACUGGUAGUGGAAUCUGCCAGCUUCAUGCAUGUGUUGAUGCAAUGAAGGUCCAUGAAGGUGUGCAAAUGGAUAACAAUUGGCAUGUCCACAUGUGCA